CUCAUAGAACGGACAAGUGGGAGAUGCCCUAAACCUGAGUGUACAGAGCAGGAUACAGGAUGCUCUGUGGCAGGUUUUCAUCGUUUGGAUAGAUGGAUGCAGGGAGGAUAACCCACGCAAACAAUCAGCCAAAGGCUCACUGAACCUGCCCACACAAGACAUAUAUCAAGUCUGAUUGAGCGGUCCGAGAGGAACGGAAGUGCUUCCCUGACUGCAACACAGAGAAGAGUCUGUAGUUUGGAUGGCUGAGGUGCUUCACUAUCCUCCUGGCUUUGGUCCAGCACUGCUUGCUGUAGAUUGACUGCAGGUCAGGAAGCUCAGUGGCUAUGAUACUCUCAGCUGAUCACACCACUCUCUGGAGAGCUCGCCUGCUAUCCUGCCUGGUGCUGUUCUCAAACCAGACUGUGAUGCUUCCCAUCAUGCUCUCAAUGGUGCGAGUGUAACAUUGCUUACACUACAACAGCAGCUCAUGUUGUAUUGCUUUAUUAUUGCAUGCAAUAUAGUGUCAUAAAGAGCCAUCUUAUACUGUGCCACUAGGCUAGAAUACAACUUUAUCCCUUACCUUAACACUAUUUGUAAAUUAUUUACUUAAUGUACAUAUAAAAGGAGAGAUGACAUUGGUGUCCAUAUCACACUGAGGUUUAAUGUUUUAUUUGAACUAAAGUCUUAAAAUCUAAUUUAUCUUUUUUUAAAGUAUGGAUAGUGAUGUUUAUUAAUAAAUCACCUCUUGAUGAUUUGGUGUCUUUCUUGUUAGAUACAAGAUAUGGCCAAAACAGUGUCAUAUGAACCAAAAGAGAACCCCACAGAGUGCCAUUAAGUUGGCCUUUUAAAAAUGUAUUCAUUUAUUUUUACUGAACUAUCAGUUUGUGGAUGCAAAACUUGUGGCCCUCGUGGGGUUGUAAGGGCAGGAAGGAUGGCUCCGACUAAUCACAGUAAUUUUCCAUCCACUGUUACAGU